CUACCAGGCCCACCAGCCUGGCAUCAGCCUCGCCUGUUCUCUUUCCCACCCCACAUCCUUUUGGCAGACAACUCUGUUAUCACCGUAUCACCGUCUUCCGAACACUUCUGCAAUCCCAGCCUUCCCUGCUCCUCCACGGCGACCCUCCUGGUCCCACACACUGGCCUGGGCCACCCGGAUCGAUCUCCCCAGCAGCCAGCAGCCACCCAGCGGACUGGCCUGUGGCAUCCUUCCCUGGCACCAUCCCCCUCUCUGGGCAAAGGCGGGACUGCAGGACGCCCCAUUUCACGGAGCCUGACUGAAGUGCCUCUGGUGGCCCUGGGGCCCUUCAGGUCCCCCCAUCUACAUGUGGGUGACAUGAUCCUCCCUCUGGCUCUGCCACCAGCAGCCCUCCAGCCACUGGCCUCCUGCCUCUUCCAGCACACUAGCACUCCCCGAAGCUGGCGUCUGAUCCAGGCUGCACCCCAGGAGGGCAGCCUCUGGUCCCUGCUGUAUCCACUGCUGCAUCCCUGUGCCGCUGGGCAUGGAGUUUCUGCGCCGUACCUGUGGGUCCAUUCUGCUUCCCUGAACUUUCCAGGAAACUCCAGCGGCCGCAGGAUCCUGCACACCCACCGCCAAAGGGCCCUGUAGCUGUUAUCACAUUUGAAGGAGGAGUCCUGCACCCCAAGACGUGUGAGCAGUAGUCUUGUCCACGUUCUAGAUCAACAAGUAGGGGCCUCAGAGAGGCUCACGAGUGGCAGAACAGGAAGCAACUGGCCGCCUAGGCUUGGGCCACCUCCACUUGCUAUGUGGCCACCUGCCCAGGGCGGACAG
rnacentral:lncRNA from 1 species